UUACGGGUACGGGGAUUAGGGUUCGAUUCCGGAGAGGGAGCCUGAGAAACGGCUACCACAUCCAAGGAAGGCAGCAGGCGCGCAAAUUACCCAAUCCCAACACGGGGAGGUAGUGACAAUAAAUAACAAUAUGGGGCCCUUACGGGUUUCGUAAUUGGAAUGAGUACAAUUUAAAUCUCUUAACGAGGAACAAUUGGAGGGCAAGUCUGGUGCCAGCAGCCGCGGUAAUUCCAGCUCCAAUAGCGUAUAUUAAAGUUGUUGCAGUUAAAAAGCUCGUAGUUGAAUUUCGGGAUUUGUCAGUUGGUCGGGCUUAACUGUCCGUAUUGACUUGAUGGAUUCUUACCUUCUGAAUAACCAGCAUGCUAUUAAGUUAGUGCGUUGGGGAAGCAGAUCUAUUACCUUGAAAAAAUUAGAGUGCUUAAAGCGAGCUAGUGCUUGAAUAGAUUAGCAUGGAAUAAUAAAAUAGGACGGCAUGGUUCUAUUUUGUUGGUUUCUAGGAUCACCGUAAUGAUUAAUAGGGAUAGUUGGGGGCAUUAGUAUUCAAUUGUCAGAGGUGAAAUUCUUGGAUUUAUUGAAGACUAACUUCUGCGAAAGCAUUUGCCAAGGAUGUUUUCAUUAAUCAAGAACGAAAGUUAGGGGAUCGAAGACGAUCAGAUACCGUCGUAGUCUUAACCAUAAACUAUGCCGACUAGGAAUCGGACGAUGUUAAUUUUAUAAUGACUCGUUCGGCACCUUACGGGAAACCAAAGUGUUUUUGGU
rnacentral:rRNA from 1 species